UCCGCCCUUUCCCUGGAGAGAUCAUGGAUGGUAAUCAAAGAAUGAAGACUGAUGAAGAUUGAAGACCGUUACUACCAUCAAGAGGAGGUGACCCUCACUCGUAUAACUAUCUUAUGCAACGUCUAUCUGUCGCUAUACAAAAGAGCAAUAUGGUAUCAGUUCUGGGAUCAUUAGGCAAGGAGAGUUCGGACUUUAUUGACUAAUUAUUGUUAUUAUUAUUAUUAUUAUUAUUAUUGUUAUUAUUAUUAUUAUUAUUAUUAUUAUUAACGAAAGUUAGAAUUAGGACAAA